UACGGAGGAUCCAAGCGUUAUCCGGAUUUAUUGGGUUUAAAGGGUGCGUAGGUGGGUUGGUAAGUCAGUGGUGAAAUCCCCGAGCUUAACUUGGGAACUGCCAUUGAUACUAUUAAUCUUGAAUACCGUGGAGGUUAGCGGAAUAUGUCAUGUAGCGGUGAAAUGCUUAGAUAUGACAUAGAAUACCAAUUGCGAAGGCAGCUGGCUACACGAAUAUUGACACUGAUGCACGAAAGCGUGGGGAUCAAACAGG
rnacentral:rRNA from 1 species